GGCCCCAUCGUCUAGUGGCCAAGGACACCACCCUCUCAAGGUGGAGACACGAUGCCUCUGAGUAGGAAUUUCGCCUGGGGGCCA
rnacentral:tRNA from 1 species